GCGGCCUAUCAGCUUGUUGGGGGGGUAAUGGCCCACCAAGGCGACGACGGGUAGCUGGUCUGAGAGGAUGGCCAGCCACAUUGGGACUGAGAGACGGCCCAGACUCCUACGGGAGGCAGCAGUGGGGAAUCUUGCGCAAUGGCCGAAAGGCUGACGCAGCGACGCCGCGUGGGGGAGGAAGGCCUUCGGGUUGUAAACCCCUGUUGCCCGGGACGAAUGUGCUCUUUAGAGGGCAUUGACGGUACCGGGUGAGGAAGCACCGGCUAACUCCGUGCCAGCAGCCGCGGUAAUACGGAGGGUGUGAGCGUUGUCCGGAAUCACUGGGCGUAAAGGGCGCGUAGGCGGCUCAUGAAGGCUGUGGUGAAAGUCCGAGGCUCAACCUCGGAUCGGCCGUGGCGACUCGUGGGCUGGAGCACUGUAGAGGCGGGUGGAAUUCCGGGUGUAGCGGUGGAAUGCGUAGAGAUCCGGAAGAACACCAGUGGCGAAGGCGGCCCGCUGGGCAGUGGCUGACGCUGAAGCGCGACAGCGUGGGGAGCAAACAGGAUUAGAUACCCUGGUAGUCCACGCCGUAAACGAUGGGCACUAGGUGCUUGGGGGAGCGACCCUCUGAGUGCCGGCGCUAACGCAUUAAGUGCCCCGCCUGGGGAGUACGG
rnacentral:rRNA from 1 species